rnacentral:rRNA from 1 species
CAGCAGCCGCGGUAAUACGAGGGGGGCAAGCGUUGUUCGGAAUUAUUGGGCGUAAAGGGUGCGUAGGCGGCUUGACAAGUCUUGUGUGAAAUCUAUGGGCUCAACCCAUAGUCCGCACGGGAAACUGUCGGGCUUGAGAAUGGGAGAGGUGAGUGGAAUUUCCGGUGUAGCGGUGAAAUGCGUAGAUAUCGGAAGGAACACCUGUGGCGAAAGCGGCUCACUGGACCAUUUCUGACGCUGAUGCACGAAAGCUAGGGGAGCAAACAGGAUUAGAUACCCCCGUAGUCCCUGUCUCUUAUAC